CAUGAACUCACUUUAGCAGCAGCAGCAAUGAAAUCCUACAUUUCAAUUCCUUUUUGAGUCACAGAUUACUGAUUUUACAUCAAUAUGGUUUUAUGUCCAGAAGGAAAAAAGAUACUGAUAAAAUACUAAAGACUGCAACAAGUGGUAUUAAACCAUACUUCUCUUGUCUUUCUAGACAUAUGUUGAAUAAGUUUUCAGUCAUUGCCAGAAAUUCUGAGGAAGUAAAACCCAUUUGUUACGUUAUCUUAAGGGCAGCUGAAGGAGUUUUAAUGUCAUCUACUGGAACAACAGCUGAAUUGGGGAUGUUACAUAACAGUCCCAGCAUAACAUUUAUUGGGUAACAGAGUCAGAUGUAGGCUGAAAAUGAU
rnacentral:lncRNA from 1 species